UAAUUCGUAAAAUUGUCCUGAAAUGUGCAGUUCAAAAAAAAAAAAAAAUUGUCCUGAAAUGUCAUUUGCUAAAUAAUACUGUAUUUUCGUUGCCGACAUUAUAGUUUAAUAAAUACUUUUUAUGCUAAAUGGAAUUUAUUCUAUUGAUGUGAUAUAAUCGAAUAUCCAAUCAUUUAUGAAAACUUUUCCAAUACCCAAAUUUCAAGCCUAGUAAUUUGAAUUGAUUAUUUUUGUUUAAACUGCUUUGAACUGAUUCUUUUUGCAAAUAAAUGUAGAUACAUUUUUCCACUUUCAACUUACGGCUUAAGAUUCUUCUAUAGUUACUACUAUCAAUUAUACGUAUUAUAUAUAUACAUUUUAAAUUUAGUGGAGAAACAUUAGAUGAUGAUAACCAUGUUACCACUUCCAGUAUUUACACUUUACGGGACACGAUUCAAUGUCUUUGUACUUGUUGAAGUUCAGUGUACAUAAGAUGUCAUUUAAACCUAUAUAAUAUAGAUUCUUAUCACUACUUUCUAUAAAGCUAACAAAAAUAAAGAGUUGAGAGAUUAAUAUUUCAUUUUUUAUGUGCGUGGUAUUUUUUUUUUCUUUUGAACACAUGUGCGUGGUAUACAUAUGAUGAUUUUAUUUUCGUUUGAAGAUUUCAGUUAAAUUAGUUUUAUGGUAUUUUUUUUUUUAAAUGCCAUCUUAUGUUAUGGUCUUUCAUUUUCUUACGAUUUUUUCAUAUGAAAGGUUUUGUGAUAGGUAAUUAUAUGGAAAGAUUUUUUUUUCUUUUCAAGUUAGACGAAUGUUAUUAUGUUUAAAGAAACCAAUUUAGUAGCUAGUUUCGUUUUCUGCUAAAUAGAAAAUCCCAAGCUGAGACCUAGCCUCACCUGAUAAUACAUUUUAAUAGUUUAAAAUCAGGCCUUCUAAAUAUGACUUGAAUUAUAUGGAUGUGGUUCAACUUCUUUUAAAAUUCCCAAGUCUCUAUAUAACCCAGCAAUUUAAUUUAGUGUUGCCAAGUAAUUUUUCAUUUUGAUAGUUUAAGGAUCGACUGAAGUGAAAAGCGUUAAACACCUGCUUAACAACUAAAGACUUUCUAUUUAAUUGAAAUUUUUAUCUAAGAUAGGCAGAUUAAAAAUGACUUUUCUGAAAAGUAUACUUAUACACAAAAUUUAACUAAACUCUAAUGUUUACGAAGCUGCAUGUUCUAGAGAAACGACUGCUCUAUUUGGAACAUCAAAGUACAAAUUUAAUACUAAACUAUUACUAUAAUUAUGAUAAAGAUGCAUCUUAGCAAGUUGGUCAUUACAUAAUGAUACUUUAUGUCGUCGAUAUUCUCCUUCUCUCUACACAUAUAUAAAUUAGUAUAUUGUCAUAUAAAUGCAUCGGUAGAUAUAUAUAUACACAUAUAUUGAUUUGUGUACGUAUACGUGAGCCUAAUAAUGGAGAAAAGGCUAUGAAAGAAAGCCUAUGUGACACAGAUUUUGUAGGUACUUAUCUUGAAUCUCCGAACUCCAUAAGAAGCAAUACAAGUACAAAAUUAAAUCUUCUAUAACGUUUAUGUUAUAAACAAUUACUUUGAUUUUUUAGGGUAAAUUAUUUAUAUUCUGAAAGUUGAUUAUUAAGGCUUCGAAUGUUUACAACUGUCCCGCCCCGCACCGCAGUUAACAGUAACAAAAAUCUUUACAUACACCAUAUAUCUAUACGUUUUUAUAACUGUUAAAACUGUACCGCAGUUGAACCGCUUGUCCCGCACCGUUCAAACCGCAGUUACCAUUCGGAACCUUAAAAUUCCAAAGUUCCCAUCUAUGAUUCCUAAUCUGAUAAUGUUCCUGUUACAUAUUUCUUCUGAACAUAAGUGAGAUCUCGAAACUAAUAGCUUCAGUUAUUAUUCAAGUAAGCAGAGGGUAUUUCACAAAUUAAAUUCUUAAUGAAUUGCCAUACUUUUUCGUCUUUGCAGACAUAGAAGCAACAAGUAGAAUAUCGACGUGUACUAGUAGGUUCAGUGUAGACAAAAUUAAGAUUCCUAAUUUUUUACUCUUUGGAAAAUAUAUGCUUAUGUACUUAUUUAUAUCAAAAAGCAAGUUUCCCGGGAACAAGGUCCGGCCGCUUGAGUGGAAAGCAGACAAUUAUUAUGAACACAUAAAGCAAAUUUCGAAAUUUUAAUUGAGUACAGAAAAGAAAAAAAAAUUAUAUAAAAUUCAGCAUAAUGAAGAAAUAUACAUGCUUGUUUAAUUAAAAUCACUUGGUACUGCUUUUCGUCGUCUAAUUUGUUGCAAGUUUUUCUUUACACCCUGUAUAUUGGAAGUUCUUAUAAACACUACAGAAAAUGAAUUGAUGGUUGUUGUACAUACCAAUUUAAUUGAUAAUAACAUAAACAUCGACUUCUUAAGAACAUAAACAAUCAAGAAUAAAGAAAGAUUUUACCACACAAAAAAAAGAAUAAAGAAAGAAUAAUAUUUUACCAAAAAAAAACAUUAAAGAAUAAUCAUGUAAACUAGUUUUCCUGGUUUGUGUAAGCGUAAAACGCUAAAAUAUUUCGAACAAAAAGGUGGAGAAAAUAUUAACCAUCCACUUAUUCAAUAAGCAUAUAUAAUUCAAAUUCCUAGUGCAACAAAAAAAACAAAAAAAAAAUUACACAAAAGGUUUCGCCUAUGUUUUACAUUUGUUUUGCUAUAUAAAGCCAUUAAUCCUACAUGCUCUUUAGACAUCUCUUCUUCUCUCAUCUAUCUUUUCUUCUCUCUUUUCCUCCUUUUUAUCUCACAUAAGCUCUUUUUUACAUAAAUCCAUAUGGUGCCUCAAAGCAAUCCAUGGUCUAGGGUUUGUUUUGAAGAUUGAUUCUAGCACACACAGAAAAAGAUCUGUGCAUCAAGAAUGAAAAACAUGGGGCAUAUAUAUACGUUUUACUGUUUUAUGCUCUAUACAAUAUACUCAGAUUAUUCAUAUACUAACUGUAUAUGUCCAUAUGCUUAUAUAUAUACAUAUAUAGCUGUAGAAAUUUUAAUAUGGUCAGGGAUGCUGGGUUGGUGGGGGAAGGGAGCUUUCUUCGGUCCACUCAUAGAAUAAUAUGAUUCAGUCGUGGACCUCCCUGAACAUCUUCGAGACUAAUCUAUGAAGGCUUAUGUUUUUCUUUGUAAUGAAAGUUUCACUACUAGAAGCAAUAACAAUAUACAAGAUAAGGUUUCUACUAGCUCAUCUACCCAAAUAACUUCGCUUCUUUCUUUUUGUGGGGGUCAAAACUUCGUUUCUUUCUAUUCCAUGUAAACUAUCAUGUUUCUGGCGCUCGCUCAAUUAAAGGCGACUUGCAAAUAGAUUAUAAGCUAUCACAAGCUAUUACGCAAUUUCGAGUUCA